rnacentral:lncRNA from 13 species
UCAGCUCUCAGCUGCCUUUAUGCAGUGUUGUAGAGCUUGCUUUAUGCCACAGUCAGACCAAAUGUGACAGAAAAACUGCCUUGGGUCAACCACACCUGCCAAUGGGCUUCCCAGUAAAACCUCAGAAGAUGUCCUGACAAGCUCUGCCUGACAUUUUUGCCUCCAGUUUCACAGUGAUGAUGACACCACCAUGCUUGCCUCCCUGGGAACCUGGCAGAAGAACCUGACUGUGCACAAAGCAACAUCCUCUGUGACUGAAAGGAACUUGGCACAAGGAAAGCAUUUGAAGAAAAAUUGUUUAUAGCAGAGUGAUGAACUCUCUCUUGCCCACCAUUGUUGCACUAUACAAUCCCACUAAUUCCUGUGACAUAGUAUGAAUGAAAUGCCCAAUACUGGAUUACUUUGACUUGCAUAAGAACUAUAUCAUGCCAUAGGGAAUGUCCAGAAUAGGAGUAUCCAACUUCCCAACCUCCAUUCUUCUGUGCGUAAUUGACUAUAUGUGUAACAGAGAAAUAUUUCUUACCUUCCUCAGACUAUUUUAAUGAAACACUUUCAUUAUAUUGGUGUAACCAUGUGCUUGUAUACUCUUUUUUAUUAGAAAACAGAUUUCAGUGCUAAAACAAUAAUAAUGUUCUAAAACAGCAAUACUGGCCCAGACUGAAUAUUUGGUUAACUAAAAGGUGAUUUGAUUUUCAGUGUCAAGAUGUUUGGAAUGUGAUGCUGAAUCAGAUAGGAGAUGAAACAUGCUGUGGUCCCUGUAGAAAGUGUCACAUUUUUCUGCACAUCCCCAGUGGUGGUGGGUUGCACUGAUUUUGGUUGAAGAGUUCUCUAGACCUGCUGGAUACUCUGAAACAACUCUACGUGUGAUUUAAAUUUCUGCCCAUGUUGGGAUGAAGCAUGCUGUGCUAAUAGAAUUAUCUUCAGUGAGCAGUUAUUU